UACGUAGGUGACCAGCGUUGUCCGGAUUUACUGGGCGUAAAGAGCGCGCAGGCGGUCGUUCAAGUCGAGUGUGAAAGCCCCCGGCUCAACUGGGGAGGGUCACUCGAUACUGAUCGACUGGAAGGCAGGAGAGGGAAGCGGAAUUCCCGGUGUAGUGGUGAAAUGCGUAGAUAUCGGGAGGAACACCAGUGGCGAAGGCGGCUUCCUGGCCUGUUCUUGACGCUGAGGCGCGAAAGCUAGGGUAGCAAACAGG
rnacentral:rRNA from 1 species